CCAAAGGCUCUUUUCAGAGCCACCCACACUUUUUCACUGAAGAGCU
rfam:Myotis lucifugus cont2.52709, whole genome shotgun sequence.